rnacentral:piRNA from 1 species
CAGGUGAAAUACAGAAACGCAGCAGAAACG